rnacentral:lncRNA from 1 species
AUGGGUGCCUGGCAGGUUUCCCCCGCAGCACUUCGGGAAGCUCUAUGGGCUGGCCAUGGCACUGUCGGCGCUGGUGGCCCUGCUGCAGUACCCCUGUGUUGCCCUGGUGCAGGGGCCGCUCCAGGGGGACCCCUUCUAUCUCUUGCCAGCCCUGCGGUGGAGGAUGAGGAGGACGUGACAGAGCUGGAGAUGCCCGAGGAGUUCAGCGGGUGCCGGGGGGGCAGUGACAAGCAGACACCCGGUGUCCCCAGCAUGCCAGGCACCGCCACCUGCCGCUACGUCGUCAUCUCCCACUGCCAGAACUUCUGCCAUGCCCAGCGCAUCUGUGCCCAGCGCUUCCGCGGGCGCCUGGCCUCGAUCCACG